rnacentral:rRNA from 1 species
GAUCCUGGCUCAGGACGAACGCUGGCGGCGUGCUUAACACAUGCAAGUCGAACGAAGCACUUUGAAGGAAUUCUUCGGAAGGAAUUCAAUUUGACUUAGUGGCGGACGGGUGAGUAACGCGUGAGCAACCUGCCUACAAGAGGGGGGACAACAGUUGGAAACGACUGCUAAUACCGCAUAAGACCACGCUAUCGCAUGGUAGAGAGGUCAAAGAUUUAUCGCUUGUAGAUGGGCUCGCGU